rnacentral:lncRNA from 1 species
AUGUGGGCAGUUGCCCCGAACAGCGCAGCUGGCGGAGCGUUCUGGAUGCUUCCCAUGUCCGCAGGGUCAGCCGCGCCGGCAGUGGCCGCGGCCACCGGGUCCUCAGAGCCGUCCAUCUGGACGUUCCCGGCCAUGGCCGGGCAGUACCGCGGCGGGAUCAGCGGCGGCAGCACCAUCCAAGCGCCACUCCAAUUCAUGUCACGAGUAAACUUACCUGGUGCCGCCGACUUCCAAGGUGGCCGUGCUCUGCCGCUGGGAUCGAUGGUGCUGCAGCAGCCCACGAGCGGCGUGGCGGCUCAGCAUCUCGGCCUGGGAACGUCCGAGACUAACCUGGGCAUGCUUGCGGCGC